rnacentral:rRNA from 1 species
AACGAACGCUGGCGGCAUGCCUAACACAUGCAAGUCGAACGAGACCUUCGGGUCUAGUGGCGCACGGGUGCGUAACGCGUGGGAACCUGCCCUUAGGUUCGGAAUAACUCCCCGAAAGGGGUGCUAAUACCGGAUAAUGUCUUCGGACCAAAGAUUUAUCGCCUUUGGAUGGGCCCGCGUUGGAUUAGCUAGUUGGUAGGGUAAAAGCCUACCAAGGCGACGAUCCAUAGCUGGUCUGAGAGGAUGAUCAGCCACACUGGGACUGAGACACGGCCCAGACUCCUACGGGAAGCAGCAGUGGGGAAUAUUGGACAAUGGGCGAAAGCCUGAUCCAGCAAUGCCGCGUGAGUGAUGAAGGCCUUAGGGUUGUAAAGCUCUUUUACACGAGAUGAUAAUGACAGUACCGGGAGAAUAAGCUCCGGCUAACUCCGUG